CGUUGCAGACUUCACUUUGGAACAGUCCAUCAUUCUAGUACGGCCUCACGCCACAUGGCGGCGUCUCUUUAAUUCAUUUUGUCACUUGGUCACCUUUUCCUUCAACUUCCGGAAUCCACUUUUUUUUGUUUGUUGUUGUCAUGGACUCGGUUGGGCGUAGCCGACAGCCGUGCUCCAAAGUAGCGCGUGGUCAAGAUAAGUGACAGUUAUUUGGUUCAGAAUAAACAAGUGCUCGUGGAAAUCUUCGGCUGUCCAACAGCACGCGUCCAGGGCCGGUUCCGUCCUCGGCUCAGACCAGCACAUGUUGCAACUUGCCACCACGCUUACACACUCGCACAAAUAGAAGAGUCCAUCAGGAGGUGAAGUGCAUUCAGGUGCUCCGGAUCGGCUGUGGUGGUGGUCCCGCUGCAGGCUGCGAUGUGACGCCGCUUCCCCCUGCUCGCAUCCUGGCCGGCUAACUCGCUAAGGACACGAUCCAUGUCCAUAUAUCCACGGUCACAGGACUCGGCUAAGUGCGGUAGCCGCGGCGCUCGGUGUGAUUUUCAUACUUGCGGCUCAUAUUCAGCCCAGGGUGUCAAAAUCGCGCCGAUGGAGGCAUAGUGACGCGCAUUACGUGCACCUUCUCCCGCGCCACAAACUUUCCGCCGACUUUCCACUCGCGAGACUUGAAGCCAUGCAUGCGAGCUGCUCCGCGUGAGGACAUUUGGAUGGAGCCACGCACGCGCGCACAAGCAGGACCCUGCUUGGCCACACAGUGCGGCAGCACACACCGAGGGAGCGACACGCAGCAUGAAUACGCGUUGCAUGGGUGGACAAGGUGGAAAUUAUACAGCGGCCCCACGUGAGUAUCCCUUCAAAUGUCAAGUGUUUGAAAAAACCCCCACAGAAAACGACUAAUUGCUGCCUAUGCAGUGGAUUUAAUUGUGGAAAAGUCACAUCAAUGAAAAAAAUGAGCAAAUAAGGAGUCAUUUCUUGUUUCUCUAUUGCGUGUGCAAAACAAACUUGCAUUGAAGCUUUUGGUCGUGUAAGUGUGUUUACAAGCGCGCCGAUUUUCUGCAACGUUCGAGAGUCUUUAUUUGACUUUUGAGGCUCACGUGAACGUAAACUUGAAUCGUUUGAUUUUUAAUUCCCGUUUUGCAUUGGACUGAAAUAUUUUAUUUGCACUUACCGUUCUUUGCAUUAUUGUAGCGCAGUCUAGAGUCUACUUACCAGUGUGUCAUUAUUCCUAUAAAUAUAUAAUAUUGAUGCUAAUAUUUGACGGUAUUACUCCCGAAAAUAUUUGCUGUUUUAAAUUCUCCAAUUUACAUUUUCGGCAGUUUUAUUUUAACGGACAAGUGUUUUUCGUUUUUUUUUUUUAUUUAUUUUUUAUACAUCAAAUGUAGACACGUGCACAACAUUUAGCGUUGCCGUUUUCAUGCCUCGCAAUAUUGAGGAGGCUUGUAAAAU